UGGGGAAUAUUGGGCAAUGGGCGAAAGCCUGACCCAGCAACGCCGCGUGAGGGAAGAAGGGUUUCGGCUCGUAAACCUCUGUCCUAUGGGACGAAGGAAGUGACGGUACCAUAGGAGGAAGCCCCGGCUAACUACGUGCCAGCAGCCGCGGUAAUACGUAGGGGGCGAGCGUUGUCCGGAAUGAUUGGGCGUAAAGGGGCGCGUAGGCGGCCUGCUAAGUCUGGAGUGAAAGUCCUGCUUUCAAGGUGGGAAUUGCUUUGGAUACUGGUGGGCUGGAGUGCAGGAGAGGAAAGCGGAAUUACCGGUGUAGCGGUGAAAUGCGUAGAGAUCGGUAGGAACACCAGUGGCGAAGGCGGCUUUCUGGACUGAAACUGACGCUGAGGCGCGAAAGCGUGGGGAGCAAACAGGAUUAGAUACCC
rnacentral:rRNA from 1 species